rnacentral:ncRNA from 1 species
GCACUAGGGGUGUUUUGUGACUGAGAUGAGGUAUACCCUCAAACCCUUUGAACCUGAUCUAGAUGAAAGCUAGCGUAGGAAAGUGCUAAAUUAU